UACGGAGGGUGCAAGCGUUAUCCGGAUUCACUGGGUUUAAAGGGUGCGUAGGAGGGCAGGUAAGUCAGUGGUGAAAUCUCCAAGCUUAACUUGGAAACUGCCGUUGAUACUAUCUGUCUUGAAUACCGUGGAGGUGAGCGGAAUAUGUCAUGUAGCGGUGAAAUGCUUAGAUAUGACAUAGAACACCCAUUGCGAAGGCCGCUCGCUUCACGAAUAUUGACCCUGAGGCCCCAAAGCGUGGGGAUCAAACAGG
rnacentral:rRNA from 1 species